ensembl:misc_RNA Metazoa_SRP Metazoan signal recognition particle RNA
GCUGGGCAUGGUGGUGCAUGCCUGUAAUCCCAGCUACUCAGGAGGCUGAGGCAGGAGAAUUGCCUGAACCCAGGAGGCAGAGGUUGCAGUGAGCCGAGAUCGUGCCAUUGCACCUCAGCCUGGGUAACAAGAGCAAAACUCUGUCUCAA